rfam:Cavia porcellus supercont2_60 genomic scaffold, whole genome shotgun sequence.
GGGGAUUUAGCUCAGUGGCUUAAGCGCCUGCCUGGCAAGCAUGAUAUCAUGAGUUCGAUCCCUGGUACCCCCCA